UUAAGGGAGAAAUGGAAACAAUGCUGAGCAUGCGCGGUGUUGUGGGAAGGGAAGCGCAGGAGCAGUGCUAUGCCUGGUUACGUCAUGUGGCGUUAAAGGGCGGGGCGGAGCCGGGCAGCGCUGCGCAUGCGCACUGGCUUUACCCGCCCGGUGCUGUUGCUCCGUGGGUACCGUCCGGCGCUGCCCGGGAGCGGCUUGGAAGCACCGGGUUCGGUUCCCGGCUGCGGCAGCGGCGGGCGAGGGUUGUGGUGACAAUGGAGGAGGGCGGCUGUUGCUGUGGCUGCAGCGAGGUGGAAAGUGAGCGGAGAACGGCGACGCAGCGUGUGCCGGGAAAAGACCCGAGGGGGGGCGGCCCCGGAGCAGAGCCGGGCGGGAGCGGGCGGCGGGGACUGCGCGGGGCGAAGGCAGUCCCGGCGCGGGCGCGGAGCCGGGGAGGAGCUGCGGGGCUGGGGCCGGGGCUUGCGGGCGGCACGGCGGGACCUCCCUGCAGAGCCUUUCCUGGGAAACAAAACCUGGAGUUUGUCCCACCUCGGCCCCGUGGCAAGGGGCAGCGCAACCGAGGGGAGCAGCGCCUGAGCAGGGGCGGCAGCGUGCGGGCGCAGGGAAGACGCGGCUGGUGCUGGAGCGAGAACGUGCAGGUUUCUUACAUUUAAAUGAACGUGGAAAGCAGGGAGAGAGGUGGUAUAAAAGCACCGGGUGCUCGGGCAGGUGAGACAGGACUCAGGGGAGGGAGUCGCUUUCCUGAGCUCCUGAAGUUCCACUUGACUCUCUCAGGAGCACUCGUGAGAAGUUUCCCAUUUGGAGUUGGGCUCCAAAAGGAAGGAACUUGAAACUGCUUCUUCUGAUAAAUCCCCCAGGGCUGAGCUGGAGAACGGGUGGAGACAGUGGCAAGCGGGAGUCCCAUGUUUACAUCUGCCCUUGGAUUCCACUUUCUUCCAGUGGGUCUGUGCUGCCCGAAGUACAAAGGAAGGAGGUGUUGGAGUACCUGUUUGUUCACCUGUUGAGCUUGGAAGAGAUGCUGAGUGUGAAAUUCCAGGGGUGCCGGCUCCUUGUGAGCUGUUGGUUGCUCAGGAGAUUGGGUCGGGGAAAGGGGGGGAGAGUCCGAGCACAGCACAGUGGUAGGAGCUGGGUUUGCAUCUCAAUCUAAGGCAUCUCAAAGCCUGAUAAGCUGGAAAGAAGACUUUGCUGUGUUAAUGCACAAUUACAUUUUUGUGCAAUUUUUUGAAAUUAGGGCUGGGAUCAAUCUGGGGAGGUUAUCUGGCCCAAUUCCCUGUGCCCUGCUUUGCCAUGAGGAAUGGAUGCCUGACCUCUUUGCAGAGAGCUGCUGCUGCUAAAGAUUUCUCAGUUUCUAUAGUGAAUUUAUCCCAGUACUUUGCUGCUAUAAAGAAGUCUCCUCUUGCUGCCAUUUCCCCUUAUUACAUUUAAGAUCAGCUCCAGCUGAGUUAGAAUUUAAUCCCAACCUUUUCCCCUUUUUUUUUUUCCCAAGAGGCCUCAGCUAUCUCGCUAUUUCUUUCCUCUCUCACCCUCCAGGUCCUGUUUUUCAGACCUCGUUCUUUCCUUAUAAAACCCUUGAUAACCCAUUCCCCACUUAAGGCUUUGUUGUAUCCUUGUUUUGCUACCUUCUGGGUGCUGUGGAUGAAGGUCUGGCUUUGAGGAGCACACCCUGCUCCCUUUGCUCAAGGGAUUGCAGUUAUUCCAAUCUCCUGCUGCUGAGGGCUUCCUUAGGCUCUUGCUGAAAUGAAAAAUAUCCAGGAAGUUUUUCCUUUUUUGAGAUUAGACUGGUUUCUGCAGGUCCUUGAGAUGUGACCAUGAUGGUUAAAAACCCACAGUGCAAAUGAAGGUUUCUCCCGUCUUCCCCCUGCCCCCUACCUGCUCCAUGCACAGUUCAUUACUUUGUAAUCACAACUACUAAGGAAACCUUUCUAAUCUUGUCAAUUGGCAAUGCAACUGCUUUUAAAUUCUGGUUUAAAAUAGGUUUUGAAGUCAGGCUCUGCCCUUGCUAUUGAUUUGAAUUCUUGACUGAGUAAAUUAUUGGUGCUUAACAAGCCCUUUGUUGCUUUAAAGCCUUUCUCCAAGGGUCAAAGAAUAACACUGACAGGGAGUGAAGGAGCGCUGCCCAGUAGUUGCUUAGAAACGGAGUGUGUUAAACCCGGUUUCUUUAAAAGCAGUUUUGAGUAAGUGAAAUUCAGGCACUUGAAUUACUUUGGGGAAUGGUCCAUUUAGGAUAGAUCCACACUGACAGAAGCUGUUUAUCUGAGGUCAGUACAUGCUUUGAUCAGUGCAGGGCCUUCCCCUCAAGAAAUGCAUGAGCCAAGCCCAGCAAGGUAGAGGAAAAGACACAAGUUCAGCUUAGGGAGCUGCACAGGUGAAAUCCCAUGGAUGUGCCUGGAGCGUGGCCCUCCCCAGCAGCUUUUCUUACAGUUAAAUUCUUUAAAAAGCUAAAAGCUGAUGCUCAGUACUUUGGGAUCUGGCUCAAAACUGUGGAGAGGAUAAACUCCCUUACUGGAACUCAGGCAGUGGAGUGCUCACAAGCCAGCAGCCAGAUUGCUUCUUGUUCAGCUUCAAUUCAACGUUGGCUUUUUGUUGUUGUUUUGGUUGGUUGGCUGGUUUUAAAGUAUUCUUAGAGAUGCUACAAGUGGAAGAAGAGAACAGAAAUAGAGUGGAGCACCACUGGCACAGUAACUGAUAUUUUACUGUUCCUCUUUUUCUUUUAAAAAUUUAUGUAGAUAACAUGAACUUUUAAACUCUGUGAUUUGGGAGAAACACUCUUUUUUCUCCCUCUCUUUGGAAGAGAUAUGCAAGUCCUGAGCCGUUGGGCCAACGCUUGCUGGUUUUUGUUUACGUUUUUACAAUCAAACAAGGGGCUGAUAAGAUUGACAAGGAAGAUACAACUCAGGAGCUCACUAGGCAGCAGCCUCCAAACUCUUUGGGUGAUGCAGUAGAGUAUGAAGACUGUUUUCCAGUGCGAGAUUAAUCCAUAAUAACAUGCUCACUGACAUAAAAGUCACUUCUUAUAAGCCACUUCUUAUUCCCUGAAGUGCAGGAGCUGAGGUGUUUGACAAAGCCUUGGCAGAAUGAUGAAGUAUAUCCCUGUCAGAUUUCUCCUGCUAGCAAGAGCAAUCCAUCUUCUUUAAGGGUUUUGUUCCUUUGGGAUUGUGUGUAGUUUAGAGGGAGAACAGUACCCAGAAGCAUUAAUUAUUUAAUCUGCACUGCUUUUUUCCUCGACGUGUGAGGUCUGAGUAUUGUGCUGGGAAGUGGGGCCAAUAAAAUUUCUGGGAGUCAGACUUGGAGCUUGAAAGUUUUAGAAUUAACACUGGAGACUCAGCUCCCUCUAUGGUCAGAAGAGGGGGAGACACCUUCCUUCAGGAUGUCUCUCUAGGGAAUGCUUUUGCAAAGUUUUCUCUCGUAACGGCUGAAGUCUUGCCUCUCCCUGAAAUUGCGGUGUAGAUCCCACUGGAGGCAGUAAAUCUCUCAAAUGUAUGAGCUUGGGCCUACACACCUGCUAAGGUGUGACUAGAGGUGUGAGAGCUUUUGCAAAUGAAUUUGGAAUAAUGAGAAUCAUAGAACCACUGAGGUUGGAAAAGCCCUCUAAGGUCAUCGAGUCCAACGUGUGCCCAAUCCCUACCUUGUCACCCAGCCCAGAGCACUGAGUGCCGGGUGUUCCUCGGACACCUCCAGGAACGGGGACUCCAAACCUCCCUGGGCAGCCCCUGCCAAGGCCUGACCACCCUUUCCAGGAAGAAAGUCCUCUUGAUGUCCAACCCUGGUGCGGCUUGAGGCCAUUUCCUCUUGUCCUGUUCCUGGUUGCCUGGGAGAAGCAGCCAAUCCUCACCUGGCUACACCCUCCUGUCAGGGAGUUGUAGAGAGCAAGGUCUUCUCUGGGCCUGUUCUUCUUAGGACUGGUAUGGAAUCACUAUUUUGCAUUAAAGGACAAUAAGCAGAUGUUUUGAAAAAAUA